UACGUAGGGUGCGAGCGUUAAUCGGAAUUACCGGGCGUAAAGUGUGCGCAGGCGGCUUCGCAAGUCGAGUGUGAAAUCCCCGAGCUUAACUUGGGAAUUGCGCUCGAAACUACGGAGCUGGAGUGUGGCAGAGGAAGGUGGAAUUCCACGUGUAGCGGUGAAAUGCGUAGAGAUGUGGAGGAACACCGAUGGCGAAGGCAGCCUUCUGGGCCAACACUGACGCUCAUGCACGAAAGCGUGGGGAGCAAACAGG
rnacentral:rRNA from 1 species